UACGUAGGGGGCAAGCGUUGUCCGGAAUCAUUUGGGCGUAAAGAGCGUGUAGGCGGCCCGGUAAGUCCGCUGUGAAAGUCCAGGGCUCAACCCUGGGAAUGCCGGUGGAUACUGUCGGGCUCGAGUCCGGAAGAGGAGUGUGGAAUUCCGUGGUGUGAAGCGGUGAAUGCGCAGAAUAUCAGGAGGAACCACCAAUGGCGGAAGGCAGC
rnacentral:rRNA from 1 species